rnacentral:rRNA from 1 species
UACGGGGGGGGCAAGCGUUGUUCGGAAUUACUGGGCGUAAAGGGCGCGUAGGCGGCCUGCUAAGUCGGACGUGAAAUCCCUCGGCUCAACCGGGGAACUGCGUCCGAUACUGGCGAGGCUUGAAUCCGGGAGAGGGAUGUGGAAUUCCAGGUGUAGCGGUGAAAUGCGUAGAUAUCUGGAGGAACACCUGUGGUGUAGACAGCUUACUGGACCACGUCUGACGCUGAGACACGAAAGCGUGGGUAGCAAACAGG